rnacentral:rRNA from 1 species
AUUGAACGCUGGCGGCAGGCCUAACACAUGCAAGUCGAGCGGAUGAAGGUGGCUUGCUACCUGAUUCAGCGGCGGACGGGUGAGUAAUGCCUAGGAAUCUGCCUGGUAGUGGGGGACAACGUUUCGAAAGGAACGCUAAUACCGCAUACGUCAUCAGGGAGAAAGGGGGGGAUCUUCGGACCUCACGCGAUCAGAUGAGCGUAGGUACGAUUAGCUAGUUGGUGAGGUAAAGGCUCACCAAGGCGACGAUCGUUAACUGGUCUGAGAGGAUGAUCAGUCACACUGGAACUGAGACACGGUCCAGACUCCUACGGGAGGCAGCAGUGGGGAAUAUUGGACAAUGGGCCAAAGCCUGAUCCAGCCAUGCCGCGUGUGUGAAGAAGGUCUUCGGAUUGUAAAGCACUUUAAGUUGGGAGGAAGGGCAGUAAGUUAAUACCUUGCUGUUUUGACGUUACCGACAGAAUAAGCACCGGCUAACUUCGUGCCAGCAGCCGCCGUAACAC